AUAACAAGUGGUGGACGAGAAACAGAAAAUUUCCCUCCUUGCCGUAUCUACUGAGAUAUCAAUAAAUGAGUGAUUUUGCUCAAUCUUAGGGAGUGCCACCACAACCACCACCACCACCGCCACCACCACCACCACCACCGCCACCGCCACCACCACCACCAAUGGAUCAGGAAGAGGAGCAGCAGCAACAACAGCAAGACCAAGCUCCGCAGGAUCAAGGUCAGCAAGAUCAACCGCAGGCCCCACCCCUACAACAGGACCCUGGACAGGACCCUCCCCAAGAUGAUGAUAAUAUCCCACUCCAUCUGAUUGCCAAUCUUCGAGACGGAAUGGAUCUAUUGCAGAGGUAGAUUGAGAGAAAUCUACGAGCUGGUAGAGGCGGCAGAGGUUUGAAUCAAGGGAAACAGAGAGGAGGACGGAAUCAGCCAGCAAGGGGUGGCGAUCAUGUGCGGCGAGGAGAGAAUGGGAGAGGAGCUGGGAAUAAUCGAGGAAGAAAUGAGAACAGAGAGAAUCGAGGGAAUCAGGCAGCAAGAGGCGGUGAUCGUAGGCGUCGAGAAGAGAAUGGGAGAGUUGCUGGGAAUAACCGUGGAGGAGGAAAUCAGGCAGCAAGAGGUGGCGAUCGAGAGAACCGAGGAGGGAACGGGAGAGAUGCUGGGAACAAUCGACGAGGGAGAGGGGGUGGAAGAGCUGGGCAGAACCUCGACCGCCGUAACGCUAUAUAUUGGAAAGGAAAAUAUCACCAGAGGAGGGACAAUGAGCCACGUAGAGGGAGCGGCGGCGGUUCCGUCAUUUACCAAUAUUAUCAGUAGUUGAUAUUUCGGCUUUGGGUUUCAUAUGAUGGUAAAUAUUGAUGAAUUUCCGUGAUUAUUAUAUGAAUGGGUUAAUAGUGGAUUCAUUGAUUGAGAUAAAAAAUUGAUUCAGUUCAUUCAAAAGUGUUUCAGUCAUUCGAUUUGUAUGAAAAAAAUAAUUGGAAUCGAACUGCAUUGAUUUUUUCCUCAAUAUAAUCCACUGUUAACGCAUUCAUUCCAUGAUUGGGAGAAGUUCAUGAUGCUUGCGCAGUCUCUUCCUACUCUUUCGUCCAGUUUUCAUAACUAUUCAAAAAAAGGAGUCUUCAUAUUUAUCGUUCUAUAAGGACACAGAGAAGGCUGGUUUGAGUCCAAAAAUUGUUCCUACGAUGAUCCAAAGAAGUGUUUCUACGAGCAUUCCAGGAUGGAUCUCCGAGAUAGAAAAUGAUUGGACUUGUUUAUGCAUUUUCUUACUUGAUUUUUGUUGGAUGAGAACAAAAGUUCUCCACUAUGUCCUUGAAUAAUGAAAAAAACAUGUACUUCCUCAAAGGAAAAAGAUGUACUUGAUUGUUUUUAAGGAAUAUAUUUUUUUAUGAUUAAAAUAACUCGUUUUGGAUAAUAAAAAAAAUAGAAAAUUUGAAAAAUGAUAAAAAUAUACUAGAUAAGGAAUUUUUCAGUAUAAUUGAAAAUUUGAAUGUAAUUAGUGUUGCCGCCGCUAGGUGGUGAUGAGUCGAUAAAGCACUAAAUUCUUUCAAUGACUGUACCGAUUCAGUCAACAGCUGAUAUUCAUCCGUUCGUAGCAGAAUUUUUGAAGAAAAACGGCUGUGAAUUAAUAAUUUCCAGAAAUCGGAUUCAACCUUGCAUCGGACUGGAUUUUUCGUCGGUUCUUAACCUGUAUUUGUAGCAAUUAUCUUGUCAAUUAUUUACUCU